rnacentral:rRNA from 1 species
AAUGCGCGCAAGCGUGACCGAGCGACGCCGCGUGCGGGAUGAAGGCCUUCGGGUUGUAAACCGCUGUCAGAGGGGAUGAAUCCUUGAGGGCUAUCCCUCUUGGUUGACAGAGCCUCAGAGGAAGCGCGGGCUAAGUUCGUGCCAGCAGCCGCGGUAAUACGAACUGCGCGAACGUUAUUCGGAAUCACUGGGCUUAAAGGGUGCGUAGGCGGCGUGUUAAGUAGGGUGUGAAAUUUGUCGGCUCAACCGGCAAACUGCAUCCUAAACUGGCAUGCUUGAGAGAGUCAGGGGUGUGUGGAACUUCCAGUGGAGCGGUGAAAUGUGUUGAUAUUGGAAGGAACGCCGGUGGCGAAAGCGACACACUGGGGCUUUUCUGACGCUGAGGCACGAAAGCCAGGGGAGCGAACAGGAUU